rnacentral:rRNA from 1 species
GAAUGAAGAAGGUUUUCCGAUCGUAAAGCUCUGUUGUUAGGGAAGAACAAGUGCAAGAGUAACUGCUUGCACCUUGACGGUACCUAACCAGAAAGCCACGGCUAACUACGUGACAGCAGCCGCGGUAAUACGUAGGUGGCAAGCGUUGUCCGGAAUUAUUGAGCGUAAAGGGCUCGCAGGCGGUUUCUUAAGUCUGAUGUGAAAGCCCCCGGCUCAACCGGAGAGCGUCAUUGGAAACUGGGAAACUUGAGUGCAGAAGAGGAGAGUGGAAUUCCACGUGUAGCGGUGAAAUGCGUAGAGAUGUGGAGGAACACCAGUGGCGAAGGCGACUCUCUGGUCUGUAACUGACGCUGAGGAGCGAAAGCGCUAUCUCUGGGGAGCGAACAGGAUUAGAUACCCUGGUAGUCCACGCCGUAAACGAUGAGUGCUAAGUGUUAGGGGGUUUCCGCCCCUUAGUGCUGCAGCUAACGCAUUAAGCACUCCGCCUGGGGAGUACGGUCGCAAGACUGAAACUCAAAGGAAUUGACGGGGGCCCGCACAAGCGGUGGAGCAUCCGUGGUUUAAUUCGAAGCAACGCGAAGAACCUUACCAGGUCUUGACAUCCUCUGACAACCCUAGAGAUAGGGCUUUCCCUUCGGGGACAGAGUGACAGGUGGUGCAUGGUUGUCGUCAGCUCGUGUCGUGAGAUGUUGGGUUAAGUCCCGCAACGAGCGCAACCCUUGAUCUUAGUUGCCAGCAUUCAGGUUGGGCACUCUAAGGUGACUGCCGGUGACAAACCGGAGGAAGGUGGGGAUGACGUCAAAUCAUCAUGCCCCUUAUGACCUGGGCUACACACGUGCUACAAUGGACAGAACAAAGGGCUGCGAGACCGCAAGGUUUAGCCAAUCCCACAAAUCUGUUCUCAGUUUUGAUCGCAGUCUGCAACUCGACUGCGUGAAGCUGGAAUCGCUAGUAAUCGCGGAUCAGCAUGCCGCGGUGAAUACGUUCCCGGGCCUUGUACACACCGCCCGUCACACCACGAGAGUUUGCAACACCCGAAGUCGGUGAGGUAACCUUUAUGGAGCCAGUUGGUGGACAACUUCGUCGGCAACAGGAGUUUUGUCGUGGCCAACAGGGUUGUCAGA